rnacentral:rRNA from 1 species
UCGGGAAUUUUGUGCAAUGGGCGAAAGCCUGACACAGCAACGCCGCGUGAAGGAUGAAGUCCCUCGGGAUGUAAACUUCGUAAGAAUAGGAAGAAUAAAUGACGGUACUAUUUGUAAGGUCCGGCUAACUACGUGCCAGCAGCCGCGGUAAUACGUAGGGACCAAGCGUUGUUCGGAUUUACUGGGCGUAAAGGGUGCGUAGGCGGCAUAUCAAGUCACUUGUGAAAUCUCCGGGCUUAACUCGGAACUGCCAAGUGAUACUGAUGUGCUAGAGUGCAGAAAGGGCAACUGGAAUUCUUGGUGUAGCGGUGAAAUGCGUAGAUAUCAAGAGGAACACCUGAGGCGAAGGCGAGUUGCUAGGCUGACACUGACGCUGAGGUACGAAAGCUAGGGGAGCGAACGGGAUUAGAUACCCAUGUAGUCCCUGAGCGGGCUGGCAAGGCGCAU